UUUAAAUUUGAUUAUAUUAAAAAUAUUUAAUUGGGGGAUUAAAGUAUUUUAAUAGAAAAAAUUAAAAAAUUUAUAGUAAAUUAGUAUUGUGAAAGAAUUUUGAAAUAAGUGAAAAAAAAAAUUAUUUAAAAGUAAUUUUUAUUUGAUGUAUCUUGUGUAUCAGAGUUUAUUAAAUAAAAUUUUUAGUUAGAAAAUUCUCGAAUUUAAAAGAGAUAAUUAAUUAUAAAAGUUAUUGUAGUAUAAAUAUUUUUAAUAAUUAAUUUGAAAUGAAAUGUUAAUCGUUUUUAAAUAUAUCUAGUUUUUUUAGAAAAAAAUUUAAUUUUGAAUUUAUUUAAAAAAUAUUUUUAAUUAAUUAAUUAAUUAAAAAUAAAAUAAUUUUUAUAUUUUAAGGGAUAAGCUUUAAAUUAAAUUAAUAUAAUAAUUAAUAAAAAUUUAUUUUGAAAAUUAUAUAAUUUAUAUUGUUAAAAAAUUAUAAUUUAUUAUAAAUAAUUUCAAAUUAAAAUAAAAUUUAAAUAAAUUUAUUUUUUUUUUAUAAAUAAAUUAAUUUAAAUUAAUAAAAUUAAAUUAUAAUGAUAAAAUUAGUAUAUAAGUAUAGAUAAAAAUAAUAAAAUUUAUUUAAAUUAUUUUUAAGGAAUUCGGCAAAAUUUUAUAUUCACUUGUUUAUCAAAAACAUGUCUUUUUGUAAAUAAUAUAAAGUCUAAUCUGCCCACUGAUUAUAUAAUUGAAGGGCUGCAGUAUUUUGACUGUACAAAGGUAGCAUAAUCAAUAGUCAUUUAAUUGAUGACUUGUAUGAAAGAUUGGAUGAAAUAUAAACUGUCUCUAAAAUAAAUUAUAGAAAUUAAUUUUUAAAUAAAAAAGUUUAAAUAUUUUAAAAAGACGAGAAGACCCUAUAGAGUUUUAUAAAUAGAUUAAUUAUAAUUAUUUAUUUAUUUAAAAUUUUUAAUUAAUUUAUUUAUUUUGUUGGGGUGAUAGAAAAAUAAAAAAAACUUUUUUUUUAUUAAACAUAAAUAAAUGAAUAAAUGAUCCAAUUUUAUUGAUUAUAAGAAAAAAUUACCUUAGGGAUAACAGCGUAAUUUAUUUUUUUAGUUCAUAUAAAAAAUUAAGUUUGCGACCUCGAUGUUGGAUUAAGAUAAAAAUUAAAUGCAAAAGUUUAAAGUUUUGAUCUGUUCGAUCAUUAAAAUCUUACAUGAUCUGAGUUCAGACCGGUGUGAGCCAGGUUGGUUUCUAUCUUUUAAUAGUUAAAAUAUUUUAGUACGAAAGGAUCAAAUAUUUAAAUUAAAUUUAUUUUAAAUGAAUUUUAUU
rnacentral:rRNA from 1 species